rnacentral:tRNA from 1 species
GCCCGGUUAGCUCAAUCGGUAGAGCGUGAGACUCUUACAAGCUUGCAAGAAACCCCUAAUCUCAAGGUUGCGGGUUCGACCCCCGCAUCGGGCU